rnacentral:rRNA from 1 species
GAUGAACGCUGGCGGCGUGCCUAAUACAUGCAAGUCGAACGCAUAGCGAAAGGUGCUUGCACCUUUCAAGUGAGUGGCGAACGGGUGAGUAACACGUGGACAACCUGCCUCAAGGCUGGGGAUAACAUUUGGAAACAGAUGCUAAUACCGAAUAAAACUUAGUGUCGCAUGACACAAAGUUAAAAGGCGCUUCGGCGUCACCUAGAGAUGGAUCCGCGGUGCAUUAGUUGGUUGGUGGGGUAAAGGCCUACCAAGACAAUGAUGCAUAGCCGAGUUGAGAGACUGAUCGGCCACAUUGGGACUGAGACACGGCCCAAACUCCUACGGGAGGCUGCAGUAGGGAAUCUUCCACAAAGGGCGAAAGCCUGAUGGAGCAACGCCGCGUGUGUGAUGAAGGCUUUCGGGUCGUAAAGCACUGUUGUAUGGGAAGAACAGCUAGAAUAGGAAAUGAUUUUAGUUUGACGGUACCAUACCAGAAAGGGACGGCUAAAUACGUG